UACAGAGGUCUCAAGCGUUGUUCGGAUUCAUUGGGCGUAAAGGGCUCGUAGGUGGCCAACUAAGUCAGACGUGAAAUCCCUCAGCUUAACUGGGGAACUGCGUCUGAUACUGGAUGGCUUGAGUUUGGGAGAGGGAUGCGGAAUUCCAGGUGUAGCGGUGAAAUGCGUAGAUAUCUGCAGGAACACCCGUGGCGAAAGCGGCGCGCUGGACCACUACUGACGCUGAGGAACGAAAGCUAGGGGAGCAAACAGG
rnacentral:rRNA from 1 species